GACGAACGCUGGCGGCGUGGAUUAGGCAUGCAAGUACGAACGGUAUCAUCCUUUCGGGGGUGAGAGAGUGGCGAACUGGUGAGUAACACGUAGGUUAUCUACCCUCAAGACGGGGGACAACCCAGGGAAACUUGGGCUAAUACCGGAUGUGAGCAACUUUUAGUUGUUUGAAAGGUGGCGUAAGCUGUCGCUUGGGGAUGAGCCUGCGUCCUAUUAGUUAGUUGGUGAGGUAACGGCUCACCUAGGCAAUGAUAGGUAGGCGGCCUUAACGGGUGGUCGCCCACACUGGGAUUGAGAUACGGCCCAGACUCCUACGGGAGGCAGCAGUCGAGAAUAGUCUACAAUGGUCGGAAGACUGAUAGUGCGACGCCGCGUGAACGAUGAAUCCCUUCGGGGUGUAAAGUUCUUUUAUAUGUGAGCAGUGCUUCUUAUAUUAACAGUAUGGGGAGAGAGAUAUUAGCAUAUGAAUAAGCAACGGCUAACUCCGUG
rnacentral:rRNA from 1 species